UUAAGCGACUAAGCGUACACGGUGGAUGCCCUGGCAGUCAGAGGCGAUGAAGGACGUGCUAAUCUGCGAAAAGCGUCGGUAAGGUGAUAUGAACCGUUAUAACCGGCGAUGUCCGAAUGGGGAAACCCAGUGCAAUUCGUUGCACUAUCGUUAACUGAAUACAUAGGUUAACGAGGCGAACCGGGGGAACUGAAACAUCUAAGUACCCCGAGGAAAAGAAAUCAACCGAGAUUCCCCCAGUAGCGGCGAGCGAACGGGGAGCAGCCCAGAGUCUGAAUCAGCUUGUGUGUUAGUGGAACGGUCUGGAAAGUCCGACGGUACAGGGUGAUAGUCCCGUACACCAAAAUGCACAGGUUGUGAACUCGAAGAGUAGGGCGGGACACGUGGUAUCCUGUCUGAAUAUGGGGGGACCAUCCUCCAAGGCUAAAUACUCCUGACUGACCGAUAGUGAACCAGUACCGUGAGGGAAAGGCGAAAAGAACCCCGGCGAGGGGAGUGAAAAAGAACCUGAAACCGUGUACGUACAAGCAGUGGGAGCACCUUCGGGUGUGACUGCGUACCUUUUGUAUAAUGGGUCAGCGACUUAUAUUCUGUAGCAAGGUUAACCGUAUAGGGGAGCCGCAGGGAAACCGAGUCUUAACUGGGCGUUAAGUUGCAGGGUAUAGACCCGAAACCCGGUGAUCUAGCCAUGGGCAGGUUGAAGGUUGGGUAACACUAACUGGAGGACCGAACCGACUAAUGUUGAAAAAUUAGCGGAUGACUUGUGGCUGGGGGUGAAAGGCCAAUCAAACCGGGAGAUAGCUGGUUCUCCCCGAAAGCUAUUUAGGUAGCGCCUCGUGAAUUCAUCUUCGGGGGUAGAGCACUGUUUCGGCUAGGGGGUCAUCCCGACUUACCAACCCGAUGCAAACUACGAAUACCGAAGAAUGUUAUCACGGGAGACACACGGCGGGUGCUAACGUCCGUCGUGAAGAGGGAAACAACCCAGACCGCCAGCUAAGGUCCCAAAGUCAUGGUUAAGUGGGAAACGAUGUGGGAAGGCACAGACAGCCAGGAUGUUGGCUUAGAAGCAGCCAUCAUUUAAAGAAAGCGUAAUAGCUCACUGGUCGAGUCGGCCUGCGCGGAAGAUGUAACGGGGCUAAACCAUGCACCGAAGCUGCGGCAGCGACACUAUGUGUUGUUGGGUAGGGGAGCGUUCUGUAAGCCUGCGAAGGUGUGCUGUGAGGGCAUGCUGGAGGUAUCAGAAGUGCGAAUGCUGACAUAAGUAACGAUAAAGCGGGUGAAAAGCCCGCUCGCCGGAAGACCAAGGGUUCCUGUCCAACGUUAAUCGGGGCAGGGUGAGUCGACCCCUAAGGCGAGGCCGAAAGGCGUAGUCGAUGGGAAACAGGUUAAUAUUCCUGUACUUGGUGUUACUGCGAAGGGGGGACGGAGAAGGCUAUGUUAGCCGGGCGACGGUUGUCCCGGUUUAAGCAUGUAGGCUGGUUGUCCAGGCAAAUCCGGAUAAUCAAGGCUGAGGUGUGAUGACGAGGCACUACGGUGCUGAAGUAACAAAUGCCCUGCUUCCAGGAAAAGCCUCUAAGCAUCAGGUAACAUCAAAUCGUACCCCAAACCGACACAGGUGGUCAGGUAGAGAAUACCAAGGCGCUUGAGAGAACUCGGGUGAAGGAACUAGGCAAAAUGGUGCCGUAACUUCGGGAGAAGGCACGCUGGUGUGUAGGUGAAGUCCCUGCGGAUGGAGCUGAGACCAGUCGAAGAUACCAGCUGGCUGCAACUGUUUAUUAAAAACACAGCACUGUGCAAACACGAAAGUGGACGUAUACGGUGUGACGCCUGCCCGGUGCCGGAAGGUUAAUUGAUGGGGUUAUCCGUAAGGAGAAGCUCUUGAUCGAAGCCCCGGUAAACGGCGGCCGUAACUAUAACGGUCCUAAGGUAGCGAAAUUCCUUGUCGGGUAAGUUCCGACCUGCACGAAUGGCGUAAUGAUGGCCAGGCUGUCUCCACCCGAGACUCAGUGAAAUUGAACUCGCUGUGAAGAUGCAGUGUACCCGCGGCAAGACGGAAAGACCCCGUGAACCUUUACUAUAGCUUGACACUGAACAUUGAGCCUUGAUGUGUAGGAUAGGUGGGAGGCUUUGAAGCGUGGACGCCAGUCUGCGUGGAGCCAACCUUGAAAUACCACCCUUUAAUGUUUGAUGUUCUAACGUUGGCCCCUGACCGGGGUUGCGGACAGUGUCUGGUGGGUAGUUUGACUGGGGCGGUCUCCUCCCAAAGCGUAACGGAGGAGCACGAAGGUUAGCUAAUCCUGGUCGGACAUCAGGAGGUUAGUGCAAUGGCAUAAGCUAGCUUGACUGCGAGCGUGACGGCGCGAGCAGGUGCGAAAGCAGGUCAUAGUGAUCCGGUGGUUCUGAAUGGAAGGGCCAUCGCUCAACGGAUAAAAGGUACUCCGGGGAUAACAGGCUGAUACCGCCCAAGAGUUCAUAUCGACGGCGGUGUUUGGCACCUCGAUGUCGGCUCAUCACAUCCUGGGGCUGAAGUAGGUCCCAAGGGUAUGGCUGUUCGCCAUUUAAAGUGGUACGCGAGCUGGGUUUAGAACGUCGUGAGACAGUUCGGUCCCUAUCUGCCGUGGGCGCUGGAGAAUUGAGGGGGGCUGCUCCUAGUACGAGAGGACCGGAGUGGACGCAUCACUGGUGUUCGGGUUGUCAUGCCAAUGGCACUGCCCGGUAGCUAAAUGCGGAAGAGAUAAGUGCUGAAAGCAUCUAAGCACGAAACUUGCCCCGAGAUGAGUUCUCCCUGAGACUUUAAGUCUCCUGAAGGAACGUUGAAGACGACGACGUUGAUAGGCCGGGUGUGUAAGCGCAGCGAUGCGUUGAGCUAACCGGUACUAAUGAACCGUGAGGCUUAACCUU
rnacentral:rRNA from 1 species